GCUGACUCUCUUUUCGGACUCAGCCCGCCUGCACCCAGGUGAAAUAAACAGCCUCGUUGCUCACACAAAGCCUGUUUGGUGGUCUCUUCACACGGACGCGCAUGAAAUUUGGUGCCGUGACUCGGAUCGGGGGACCUCCCUUGGGAGAUCAAUCCCCUGUCCUCCUGCUCUUUGCUCCGUGAGAAAGAUCCACCUACGACCUCAGGUCCUCAGACCAACCAGCCCAAGAAACAUCUCACCAAUUUCAAAUCCGGUAAGCGGCCUCUUUUUACUCUGUUCUCCAACCUCCCUCACUAUCCCUCAACCUCUUUCUCCUUUCAAUCUUGGCGCCACACUUCAAUCUCUCCCUUCUCUUAAUUUCAAUUCCUUUCAUUCUCUGGUAGAGACAAAAGAGACAUGUUUUAUCCGUGAACCCAAAACUCCGGCGCCGGUCACGGACUGGGAAGGCAGUCUUCCCUUGGUGUUUAAUCAUUGCAGGGACGCCUCUCUGAUUUCACGUUUCAGACCACGCAGGGAUGCCUGCCUUGGUCCUUCACCCUUAGCGGCAAGUCCCGCUUUCCUGGGGCAGGGGCAAGUACCCCUCAACCCCUUCUCCUUCACCCUUAGCGGCAAGUCCCGCUUUUCUGGGGCAGGGGCAAGUACCCCUCAACCCCUUCUCCUUCACCCUUAGCAGCAAGUCCCGCUUUCCUAGGGGGCAAGAACCCCCCAAUCGCUUAUUUUCACGCCCCAACCUCUUAUCUCUGUGCCCCAAUCCCUUAUUUCCACGCCCCAAUCUCUUAUCUCUGCGCCCCAAUCCCUUAUUUCCGCGCCCCAACCCUUUCUCUGCUUUUCUGGAGGGGAAGAAACCCCCACCCCUUCUCCGUGUCUCUACUCUUUUCUCUGGGCUUGCCUCCUUCACUAUGGGCAAGCUUCCACCUUCCAUUCCUUUCUUCUCCCUUAGCAUGUAUUCUUAAGAACUUAAAAUCUCUUCAAUUCUCACCUGACCUAAAAUCUAAGCGUCUUAUUUUCUUCUGCAAUGCCACUUGACCCCAAUACAAACUCAACAGUAGUUCCAAAUAGCCAGAAAAUGGCACUUUCAAUUUUUCCACCCUACAAGAUCUAAAUAAUUCUUGGCGUAAAAUGGGCAAAUGGUGUGAGGUGCCUGACGUCCAGGCAUUCUUUUACACAUCAGUCCCUUCCUAGUCUCUGUGCCCAGUGCAACUCGUCCCAAAUCUUCCUUCUUUCCCUCCCGCCUGUCCCCUCAGUACCAACCCCAAGCGUCACUGAGUCUUUCUAAUCUUCCUUUUCUACAGACCCAUCUGACCUCUCCCUUCCUCCCCAGGCUGCUCCUUGCCAGGCCGAGCUAGGUCCCAAUUCUUCCUCAGCCUCUGCUCCUCCACCCUAUAAUCUUUUUAUCACCUCCCCUCCUCACACCUGCUCCGGCUUACAGUUUCAUUCCGUGACUAGCCCUCCCCGACCUGCCCAGCAAUUUAUUCUUAAAAAGGUGGCUGGAGCUAAACGCAUAGUCAAGGUUAAUGCUCCUUUUUCUUUAUCCCAAAUCAGAUAGUGUUUAGGCUCUUUUUCAUCAAAUAUAAAAAUCUAGCCCAGUUCAUGGCUCGUUUGGCAGCAACCCUAAGACACUUUACAGCCCUAGCCCCUAAAAGGUCAAAAGGCCAUCUUAUUCUCAAUAUACAUUUUAUUACCCAAUCUGCUCCCGACAUUAAAUAAAACUCCAAAAACUGGAAUCUGGCCCUCAAACCCCACAACAGGACUUAAUUAACCUCACCUUCAAGGUGUGAAAUAACAGAAAAAAGUUGCAAUUCCUUGCCUCCACUGUGAGACAAACCCCAGCCACAUCUCCAGCACACAAGAACUUCCAAACGCCUGAACUGUAGCAGCCAGACGUUUCUCCAGAACCUCCUCCCCCAGGAACUUGCUACACAUGCCGGAAAUCUGGCCACUGGGCCAAGGAACGCCCGCAGCCCGGGAUUCCUCCUAAGCCGCGUCCCAUCUGUGUGGGACCCCACUGAAAAUCGGACUGUUCAACUCACCUGGCAGCCACUCCCAGAGCUCCUGGAACUCUGGCCCAAGGUUCUCUGACUGACUCCUUCUUGGCUUACUGGCUGAAGACUGACGCUGCCUGAUCGCCUCAGAAGCCCCGCAGACCAUCAUGGACGCCGAGCUUUAGCCCGCCUGCACCCAGGUGAAAUAAACAGCCUUGUUGCUCACACAAAGCCUGUUUGGUGGUCUCUUCACACAGACGCGCAUGAAAGGGAAGACAUACAAAAACAAGGCCUCUGAGGUAGGUACUACUGAGACAGCCAGGUGGGAAGGACUCCUUGGCAAAACUCCAACCAGCCUGUACACUGGGAGGAAUGUGCACUGGGAUGGAGCCAUAGAAGUUUGUGUCGUUUGCAGUGGGGAGGAGCCUGGUCCCUCCUCUUCCUGUGAGGAACCUGGAAUUCAAUCUGUGAGGAACUUCUUGAAAGACCCAUCAAUUCUUCAAUAGAAAGCAUCAAAGGACAAUUUACACCCUAAGACUGAACCCCUGACCUCAAAAUCUUUCCCUUGCUAUGUUCACCAACCUCAACAGAAAUAUUAGGAUUCUUACCUGAUCCUAGCCAAGCCCCCUCCCUCAUCUCCCAUUAAAGGGUCCAUCUUCAACCAAACUUAAGUCUCAAUAAAUAUCUGGACAUUGUCCUUCCAACUCUGGGAAGCUGCUAAGACUCUGUCCUUACUGCAGAAGAAAAAACAGCCUUGUACCCUGGUCUUCUCAACAGGUUGUUCUGGAGAUGUUCUGGGGAGACUGCAUUAAACACAGCUUCGCACCAUUGAAUAAACUCAGCAACAAGCCAAUGCAUAAAAGUAAUCUAUGCUUCAGGUCACAGAAGCUUCAAGGGGAAAAAAACAGAAUACUCUAGGGCCAUUGUUCACAAACUCAUCUGAAAACAUCCUGGAAAAAUUUUCCCAAACACAUGGAAAGAAAGAGAGGAAAAAAGAAGAUAUCUGAAUAAUGUGGACUAGAAUAAAGAGCUGCCAGGAGCUGUUUAUUUAAAAACAGUACUUUCUUCUCUGGCUGAGUCCCUGGUAUUCUCUGCUGCAAUCUGUAGCUGUAGAAUUUUGAAGAAUGCAAUUAAAUUCAAAUGGUUUGAUGAGUAA
rnacentral:lncRNA from 10 species